UAGGGAAUAUUGGGCAAUGGAUGCAAGUCUGACCCAGCCAUGCCGCGUGCGGGAAGAAGGCCUUCGGGUUGUAAACCGCUUUUGUCAGGGAAGAAACGAGUUUCUCUAAUACAGAGACUUAAUGACGGUACCUGAAGAAUAAGCACCGGCUAACUACGUGCCAGCAGCCGCGGUAAUACGUAGGGUGCAAGCGUUAAUCGGAAUUACUGGGCGUAAAGCGUGCGCAGGCGGUUAUGUAAGACAGAUGUGAAAUCCCCGGGCUCAACCUGGGAACUGCGUUUGUGACUGCAUAACUAGAGUACGGCAGAGGGAGGUGGAAUUCCGCGUGUAGCAGUGAAAUGCGUAGAUAUGCGGAGGAACACCGACGGCGAAGGCAAUCCCCUGGACCUGUACUGUCGCUCAUGCACGAAAGCGUGGGGAGCAAACA
rnacentral:rRNA from 1 species